rnacentral:rRNA from 1 species
CGAUCAGUAGGGGUUCUGAGAGGAAGGUCCCCCACAUUGGAACUGAGACACGGUCCAAACUCCUACGGGAGGCAGCAGUGAGGAAUAUUGGUCAAUGGACGAGAGUCUGAACCAGCCAAGUAGCGUGCAGGAAGACGGCCCUAUGGGUUGUAAACUGCUUUUAUAAGGGAAUAAAGUGAGAGUCGUGACUCUUUUUGCAUGUACCUUAUGAAUAAGGACCGGCUAAUUCCGUGCCAGCAGCCGCGGUAAUACGGAAGGUCCGGGCGUUAUCCGGAUUUAUUGGGUUUAAAGGGAGCGUAGGCCGGAGAUUAAGCGUGUUGUGAAAUGUAGACGCUCAACGUCUGCACUGCAGCGCGAACUGGUUUCCUUGAGUACGCACAAAGUGGGCGGAAUUCGUGGUGUAGCGGUGAAAUGCUUAGAUAUCACGAAGAACUCCGAUUGCGAAGGCAGCUCACUGGAGCGCAACUGACGCUGAAGCUCGAAAGUGCGGGUAUCGAACAGGAUUAGAUACCCUGGUAGUCCGCACGGUAAACGAUGGAUGCCCGCUGUUGGUCUGAAUAGGUCAGCGGCCAAGCGAAAGCAUUAAGCAUCCCACCUGGGGAGUACGCCGGCAACGGUGAAACUCAAAGGAAUUGACGGGGGCCCGCACAAGCGGAGGAACAUGUGGUUUAAUUCGAUGAUACGCGAGGAACCUUACCCGGGCUUGAAUUGCAGAGGAAGGAUUUGGAGACAAUGACGCCCUUCGGGGCCUCUGUGAAGGUGCUGCAUGGUUGUCGUCAGCUCGUGCCGUGAGGUGUCGGCUUAAGUGCCAUAACGAGCGCAACCCCUCUACUUAGUUGCCAUCAGGUUAAGCUGGGCACUCUGGGGACACUGCCACUGUAAGGUGUGAGGAAGGUGGGGAUGACGUCAAAUCAGCACGGCCCUUACGUCCGGGGCUACACACGUGUUACAAUGGCAGGUACAGAGAGACGGUCCCUUGCAAAACGGAUCAAAUCCUUAAAGCCUGUCUCAGUUCGGACUGGGGCCUGCAACCCGACCCCACGAAGCUGGAUUCGCUAGUAAUCGCGCAUCAGCCAUGGCGCGGUGAAUACGUUCCCGGGCCUUGUACACACCGCCCGUCAAGCCAUGAAAGCCGGGGGCGCCUAAAGUCCGUGACCGUAAGGAGCGGCCUAGGGCGAAACUGGUAAUUGGGGCUAAGUCGUAACAAGGUA